rnacentral:pre_miRNA from 1 species
GCCGCCGCCGCCUCAGACUCGCUUGGUGCAGAUCGGGACCUGGAACCCGCGCCGCCGGGGCCGGAUCCCGCCUUGCACCAAGUGAAUCGGAGCCGGCGUAGCGG